rnacentral:misc_RNA from 1 species
AAAAAAAAAAAAAAAAAAAAGAUGUUCUGGUCAAGACCUUUGUAUGUCAAGACUACACUUACCAAUGAAGAGCAUCAAAAUGGAACUCAGAUUCAGGAUGAAGAGUGUUCAUGCUUAUCUUGCUAAUACACAAAGACAAAAAGGGAGAAUGAAAAGGGCCUCUACAUUAGUCAUGGGUUACCCAUAUUAGCUUGUUAAGGGGGCCUACAUAUAGCAACCUCUUGGGUAAUAGAGGUUAAAAAGACAAAUAGUUUUCCACAAAGGUAACUAAGUGUGACACUGUUUCCUUUUGUGAAAUUUUCAAUCACUUAAAUCAACUCUAAAGCUUUUAUUGGUAAGCAUCUAUAAAUUGGAACCUUUUUUACCUUUAAUAGCUAUCAAUUUGGUUUGAGAUAUGUCUCCUUUUCCUUGACCAGAUAGAUGCCUGCAAGUUUUAUUAAGAAUCUAUUCCUUGUUGAUAUCUAAAAUAUCUAGAAUAAAAAAGAAAUGAUUCCAAAGAAUCAAUGUAGUGGAGUUACUUUUGUCAACUUUUAUUUGUGCUAUACCAGCGGCAACAAAUAGUGGGGCCUUCGUAUGUCUACCUAUCUAUUCCAUUCAGAAAUUUCAGGGGCUAAAGAACCACGAUAUGCACAUUUUACAAAGAAUAUAUGGUUACUAUGUAUUCACACAGGUUCUUACUUCCAUCCCUCAAUCAACAACAAUAUAUUUUACCAAAUCCAUAUUCUCUUCACUGCAUUCAAGUGUUCACUAAUAAAAAUCCAUUCAGACUCCUUUACCAUGUUUUAUACUAAAACUUGGUUGAAGUUGACAACUAGCAUGGACAGUGCUUAUGCCAAUAGUCUCCAACUUUUCAACAAUUGGACCUUCAGUGAUGGGUUUUUAUAGCGUAAAUUUAUUUUUUAAAAUGGUAUAUAUAUUAGUAUUUAUAUUUAAUAAUAUUAUAUAUUAGAAUAUUUAUAUCUUUCAAA